UCGUUCGACUGCUUUCUCUUCUCUCCCCGUUGUGCCCACUGUCUUCGUUCGACUGCUUUCUCUUCUCUCCCCGCUGUGCUCACUGUCUUCCUUUUUCUUUUCUUUUUUUUGCUUCCCUGGUCUGCUGGAAUUGAUGGACACGAUGACGAAGCUAUGGCUGACCGGCACUGCCUGCUCUCCUCUGCUCCUUCUUCUGCUUUCCUUUACUUUCUCUUCAGGUUCUGGAAACGCGGAAGGCAGUAGCAGCGAUCUCGUGACUUUCCUCUGCUUAUGUGUUUGGUCUGUGUGUCUCCUGGGUUUUCCAGUCGAGAGGAUGAUGAAGAGGCCGGCCUGAUGGGAACUUGUUUUUGAUUCAGGGUUUUCGUUGUUUGCAGGGAAGAAGGCAAUGAGGGCCAAUACUCGUCUCUCUGUUUUGCUGUUCUCUAUGUCUCUGUGUAUUUGUUUCUGCGCCUCUCUGUUUUUGGGUUGGUUUUUUGGUUCUUCUCUGUUUUUCUGGGUUCCUCCUCCCUCCCCUCUCGGUGCUGGCUUGUUCGUGCCUUUUUAUAGCCUCUUUCAUGCAGAAACGAAUUCCCCUUUUAAUGGGAUCGUGGGCAAGAGAUCAUGGACUUGAAUUGCCGGAUUUGUUUCCUGUUGAAUCGGUCUGGUCCGUGCGAAACGGAAGGGAUGGUGAACAGUGGGAUCAAAACGGCGUCAUCUUGUAUGGAAAAAAUGGCAGAUUAUGAAUUGGUCCCUUUCUGUUUGAAAUGUAUCAAUUGGGUCCCUUAAUCAAUAAAUUUUUAAUUUUACCCUUGGAUUAUUUUCAAUUAAG
rnacentral:lncRNA from 1 species